rnacentral:rRNA from 1 species
UACGAAGGGGGCUAGCGUUGUCCGGAAUUACUGGGCGUAAAGCGCGUGUAGGCGGAUGAGCAAGUCUGCUGUGAAAGCUCCUGGCUUAACCGGGAGUGGUCGGUGGAAACUGCUCGUCUGGAGGACGGUAGAGGUAGGUAGAAUUCCCGGUGUAGUGGUGAAAUGCGUAGAGAUCCGGAGGAACACCAGUGGCGAAGGCGACACGCUGGGCCGUACCUGACACUGAUGCGCGACAGCAUGGGGAGCAAACAGG